UAGAGAUAGGGAAGUUCCUUCGGGACACGGGUAUACAGGUGGUGCAUGGUUGUCGUCAGCUCGUGUCGUGAGAUGUUGGGUUAAGUCCCGCAACGAGCGCAACCCCUAUUGUUAGUUGCCAUCAUUAAGUUGGGCACUCUAACGAGACUGCCGGUGAUAAACCGGAGGAAGGUGGGGAUGACGUCAAAUCAUCAUGCCCCUUAUGACCUGGGCUACACACGUGCUACAAUGGAUGGUACAACGAGUCGCGAGACAGUGAUGUUUAGCUAAUCUCUUAAAACCAUUCUCAGUUCGGAUUGUAGGCUGCAACUCGCCUACAUGAAGUCGGAAUCGCUAGUAAUCGCGGAUCAGCACGCCGCGGUGAAUACGUUCCCGGGUCUUGUACACACCGA
rnacentral:rRNA from 1 species